CAUUCACGCUGUUGUGCAGCUAUCACUUUGAUCUCCAGAGCCCUUUUCAUCUUAAAACUGAAGCUCUCCCAUCACACAGUGACCCUUCAUGUCCCUCCCCAGUCCCUGGAAAACACUGUUCAGCUUUUUCUUCCUGGACCUCAUUGUGUGGAGUUCCUCAUGUGAGUGCAGUCACACACGAUUUGUCCUUUUUUUUUUUUCAUUCGUUGAGACAGAGUCUCAUUCUGUCACCCAGGCUGGAGUGCAGUGGCGUGAUCUCAGCUCACUGUAACCUCCACUCCCAGGUUCAAACGAUUCUCCUGCCUCAGCCUCCCAAGUAGCUGGGAUUACAGGCGCCUGCCACCACGCCCAGCUAAUUUUUGUGUUUUUAUUAGAGACAGGGUUUCACCAAGUUGGCCAGGCUGGUCUCAAACUCCUGACCUCGUGAUCCACCCGCCUCGGCCUCCCACAGUGCUGGGAUGACAGGCGUGAGCUACCACACCCGGCUGAUUUAUCCUUUUAUUUGGGCUCCUUUCACUCAGCGUCUUUAAGCUUCAUACGCGAAAGACGCUUCAGAAAUUCCUUUUUCAGGCUGAAUAUCUGCGGCGUGGCUAGGCCACUUUUUGUUUAAUCCUCCCUCCUGGUGGACAGCAGGGCUGUGCUGUUUUGGUUGCUGUAAGUGCGGGUGCACACACCUGCCUGAGGCUCUGCUUUGUUGUGAGCGCGGGUGCACACACCUGCCUGAGGCUCUGUUUUGGCCGUUGUGAGCGUGGGUGCACACACCUGCCUGAGGCUCUGCUUUGUUGUGAGCGUGGGUGCACACACCUGCCUGAGGCUCUGUUUUGGCCGUUGUGAGCGUGGGUGCACACACCUGCCUGAGGCUCUGCUUUGUUGUGAGCGUGGGUGCACACACCUGCCUGAGGCUGUGGCGCGAUCUCGGCUCACUGCAACCUCCACCUCCCGGGUUCAAGCGAUUCUCCUGCCUCAGCCUCCCGAGUAGCUGGGAUUACACCCACCACCACACCUGGCUAUUUUUUUGUAUUUUUAGUAGAGAUGGGGUUUUGCCAUGUUGGCCAGGAUGGUCUGGAACUGACCUCAGGUGAUCCACCCACUGGCCUCCCAAAGUGCUGGGAUUACAGGUGUGAGCCACUGUGCCCGGCCUCUUUUUACUUUGUUAAUGGUGUAUUUUGAUAGAUAACAGAUUGUCAUUUUCAUGAAGCACAGCUGGUCAGUUUAUUGUUGCUCAUGUAUUUGGCCUCAUGUUUGAGUCCCUGUUUUUAAUCAUGAGCUGGACACAGCCCUCUUUAGAGCAACUGUGACCACUUGUGGUGAGAAGUGCAGCCCACACCAUCCACGUGAGGCUCCCACACGCCAUCCACGUGAGGCUCCCACACGCCAUCCACGUGAGGCUCCCACACGCCAUCCACGUGAGGCUCCCAUGCAGACGUUUAGAAGGCGUUUUCACUGCAGCUCAGAAAAUGGCCCCAGGCCCCCAUGGGCACCCCCAUGUCACCAGGGCCUCUGGUUGCUGCAGGUACACAGGGAUAGGCAGCCAGGCCUCGAAGGCGCUGGGCAUGGGUUUGGGUGUCUGCGUUGGGUAGAGACCCGGAGCGCCCUUGCUGGGCGUGCCCUAACAUCCCGGUACCCUGUGCCCCUCUGUGGGCCAGGACGCCUGGUGCUGCCAGCUGGGUGUGAGCCCUGAGGAGCUGAGGGUGGCUGUGACUUGGAGGAUGAGUGGGAGCUGACCAGGAGGGCGUGGAGCCGGGGCGUUUAAUAUCAUCAGGAGCAACACUGGGCUCAGAAGGCAGGCACACUUGCCGUCCCUCCAGAGCCAUGGCUGAUGGCCAGGCCUGGCGGGCUCUCGUGAGGACAGUGCCUGUGGUUGUCAGAUGCUGUCCCUUCGAGCAAGGGAUGAGAGCCAUCCUGAAGACGGGUCAGCUCUGUGGUGACCACCCGUUGGGAGCAGUGACAUUCCGGUGCAUUGCACUGGUGGCUGUGUGGCUGCGUGGUGCGGCCGCCAGGAGCCAUGUGGCGACGACAGCUGUGGGCUGGGCACAGAGCUGUCUCUGCUGGGAGUCAGUCAGUGCUGGGGUGAGGGGAGGCAGAGCUCACAGAGCCCCUCUACAGCUCACCCUGCAGCUCGGCCCCGGGCAGUAAACCCACCAUCCCCUUUUCUGCCGCAGGAGGCCGUGGAGAAGGUGACACAGCACAUCCACGGCCUGUCUGGGAAGAAGGAUGGGCUGGUGCCCAUGUUCAUCAAUACCCACAGCGGCCUCUUCACCCACCUGGGCGUGUUCACGCUGGGCGCCAGGGCCGACAGCUACUAUGAGUACCUGCUGAAGCAGUGGAUCCAGGGCGGGAAGCAGGAGACACAGCUGCUGGAAGACUACGUGGAAGCCAUCGAGGGUGUCAGAACGCACCUGCUGCGGCACUCCGAGCCCAGUAAGCUCACCUUUGUGGGGGAGCUUGCCCACGGCCGCUUCAGUGCCAAGAUGGACCACCUGGUGUGCUUCCUGCCAGGGACGCUGGCUCUGGGCGUCUACCACGGCCUGCCCGCCAGCCACAUGGAGCUGGCCCAGGAGCUCAUGGAGACUUGUUACCAGAUGAACCGGCAGAUGGAGACGGGGCUGAGUCCCGAGAUCGUGCACUUCAACCUUUACCCCCAGCCGGGCCGUCGGGACGUGGAGGUCAAGCCAGCAGACAGGCACAACCUGCUGCGGCCAGAGACCGUGGAGAGCCUGUUCUACCUGUACCGCGUCACAGGGGACCGCAAGUACCAGGACUGGGGCUGGGAGAUUCUGCAGAGCUUCAACCGAUUCACACGGGUCCCCUCGGGUGGCUAUUCUUCCAUCAACAAUGUCCAGGAUCCUCAGAAGCCCGAGCCCAGGGACAAGAUGGAGAGCUUCUUCCUGGGGGAGACGCUCAAGUAUCUGUUCUUGCUCUUCUCCGAUGACCCAAACCUGCUCAGCCUGGACGCCUACGUGUUCAACACCGAAGCCCACCCUCUGCCUAUCUGGACCCCUGCCUAGGGUGGAUGGCUGCUGGUGUGGGGACUUCGGGUGGGCAGAGGCACCUUGCUGGGUCUGUGGCAUUUUCCAAGGGCCCACGUAGCACCGGCAACCGCCAAGUGGCCCAGGCUCUGAACUGGCUCUGGGCUCCUCCUCGUCUCUGCUUUAAUCAGGACACCGUGAGGACAAGUGAGGCCGUCAGUCUUGGUGUGAUGAGGGGUGGGCUGGGCCGCUGGAGCCUCCGCCUGCUUCCUCCAGAAGACACGAAUCAUGACUCACGAUCGCUGAAGCCUGAGCAGGUCUCUGUGGGCCGACCAGAGGGGGGCUUCGAGGUGGUCCCUGGUACUGGGGUGACCGAGUGGACAGCCCAGGGUGCAGCUCUGCCCAGGCUCCUGAAGCCUCAGAUGUCCCCAAUCCAAGGGUCUGGAGGGGCUGCCGUGACUCCAGAGGCCCGAGGCUCCAGGGCUGGCUCUGGUGUUUACAAGCUGGACUCAGGGAUCCUCCUGGCCGCCCCGCAGGGGGCUUGGAGGGCUGGACGGCAAGUCUGUCUAGCUCACGGGCCCCUCCAGUGGAAUGGGUCUUUUCGGUGGAGAUAAAAGUUGAUUUGCUCU
rnacentral:sRNA from 1 species